UGCCUCUCCUUGGACAACAACACGCAGCUGACCGUCGGAAUCGCCGUCUACGACGUCAAUUACGAUGCGGCACCCAAGAACUGCGACAAGCUCAGGGGAGGCGCUUGGUCGCGUCUUAUGUGGCUCGAAAGGAUGCGAAAGUUGCUCAGAGUUUCCGUCGGCUACCAUCCGGGGAGAUUUUUGGCGCGCUGCCUGUACGAUAUCAAAUCUAGGACGAAGAUAGCCGCUCGCCGGGCGCCUCCUACCCGUGCCAUGUCGCCAGUGCCCGGAAGAAAGUUUCGAUUUAUUACUCCGUGAAAUAUUUUUUUCGCUAACAUUUAAUCACUUAGUCAAUGGAGCGCUCAUGCCCCCACAUUUCUUCAUUCAUGUAUUGCUGAAACCACGCGCUUGAAACCAACGAGGACGUUGUUGCGGCGAGGUCCUAUACACAACUAUACUGCCGAGCACGCCACCUACAGGCGGAAGAUUCACGUACUCGGAUGUGGCGAAGGUGCUUGACGUAAAAUAAUAUAAUAAAUGCGUAAGCCAAGAG